rnacentral:tRNA from 1 species
GCUGCUAGCUCAGGUGGUUAGAGCGCACCCCUGAUAAGGGUGAGGUCGGUGGUUC